rfam:Trichoderma atroviride IMI 206040 TRIATcontig_15, whole genome shotgun sequence.
GCGGCCUUAGCUCAGCUGGGAGAGCGUCAGACUGAAGUCAUUCAGUCAUUCAAUUGAUAUCUGAAGGUCGUGUGUUCGAUCCACACAGGCCGCA